CACUAGGAUCCUUUAGGAUCCAUUAUUUUAUAAUAUUUAUAGGGAU
rfam:Daucus carota subsp. sativus cultivar DH1 chromosome 6, whole genome shotgun sequence.